GUAAACGAUGAAUACUAGGUGUCGGGGGUCGAACCUCGGUGCCGCAGUUAACACAUUAAGUAUUCCGCCUGGGGAGUACGGUCGCAAGACUGAAACUCAAAGGAAUUGACGGGGACCCGCACAAGCAGCGGAGCAUGUGGUUUAAUUCGAAGCAACGCGAAGAACCUUACCAAAUCUUGACAUCCUUUUGACCAUCAUUUAAUCAUGAUCUCUCUUCGGAGCAGAAGUGACAGGUGGUGCAUGGUUGUCGUCAGCUCGUGUCGUGAGAUGUUGGGUUAAGUCCCGCAACGAGCGCAACCCUUGUCUUUAGUUGUCAUCAGGUAAUGCUGGACCCUCUAAAGAGACUGCCGGUGAUAAACCGGAGGAAGGUGGGGAUGACGUCAAAUCAUCAUGCCCCUUAUGAUUUGGGCUACACACGUGCUACAAUGGUCGGUACAACAGGCAGCGAAAGGGUAACCUGGAGCGAAUCCUCUAAAGCCGAUCUCAGUUCGGAUUGUGGGCUGCAACUCGCCCACAUGAAGUUGGAGUUGCUAGUAAUCGUGAAUCAGAAUGUCGCGGUGAAUGCGUUCCCGGGUCUUGUACACACCGCCCGUCACACCAUGGAAGUUGGGGGCGCCCGAAGCCAGUGAUCCAACCGUAAGGAGGAAGCUGUCGAAGGUGAAACCAAUGACUAGGGUGAAGUCGUAACAAGGUACCCGUA
rnacentral:rRNA from 1 species